GAAUCGCAAUACGUCGCGUUGCACACGCAUACGACGCUGUCGUAUCCGUAGCGUCUGGGAGCACACGGAAGGCCCAAGGCAAUGGCUGAAAACACGCGAGAACAGUAGACCCUGGAAACGUACCUCGGAAGAAGGGUCAACUGUUGCGCAUUUGCUGUGACGUAACCGUGGCGAAUCCGCUUGUAUGGGCGUUGCUGCUGUGGCAUUGUCGGUGUUGAUCUUCGGGUUCUGGUGCCAGAGAAUUAGCGGAAGUGACUCUAGUAUGAGAGGCGUGGAACGUUUGGGUUCUGCUACCAAAGUGUUUGUUAGCUUAAUUACGUAGAUAUGUCAGAGGGUUUGUUCCCUUCUUCCGAAAUAAAUAAAAUAAGAAAUUGA